AGCAGGGGCAGCUCCACUGGCUCCUUCAUUUUCAGAGGAGGAGACUGAGAUUUAGGGAAGUCAACAUAUCUGAGGUCAUGUGUAAAGAAUAUAGGUCUUCACACUUCCUUUUGCUGUUGUCCUAGCUGCUUUGUUGAUGUUUUGCACAGCAUUCCAAAGAUUCCCUACUACUGGACUUUAUUGUGUCUCUGGCCAAGACCCUUUUCCCUCUGUUGUGCACUUGGCAGCUUCUUUUAGCCAAGUGAUUGUUGUACCCUUCCCUCCAGUUAACCAAACCCCUUCAACAGACCUCAUGCCAGGUUGUUUGCAGAAGGGAUUCUGUCCCAGGAACUGGAGGCUGGCUUGCUGUCCAGUUCCUGGAAGUUAAUUUGCCUUGUAUAUAUAUAUACUUAAUAAGAUAUCUGACUCACUUGAACUCUUCACUAAGUGAUCUCCAUCUUUAUUUCAUCAAGGACAGUAAGAAGUAGGCAAUGAUAUGGAGUAACCCAGAGCUCUGGGCUUGCUGAUUUCUAGUGUUCAUCCCAUUUGGAUCCUUAAAGGUACCCCAUCCCAGGAAGAAGGUGCUGUCUCACCCACCUGCCUGUUAGACUUUGAACAUCAAGAGAACUUCUCUCUCUGGGUUUUGAGAUUCUCUAUUAGCCCCCAAACUGGAACCAGAUCUAUUCUUCCUGGUUGCCCCAUUCAGUCUUGAGGCCAAGGCAAUAGCCUCUAAGACCUGAGCCCAUGAUGGGUGAUUGACUGACAGAGGUGCUGGCUUCAGUAUGGCCAUAGUGAGAUGGGCACACCUGUAUGUUCUCUGUGUACCUGAUGAAGGAGAUAUCUGGAGAGUAGAUAAGCUAAGACAGGGAAUUUUUAUCAAUUUCAUUCAGAUAUGAAAACUGUACAGAUCUUGAAUUCCAGUGCCAAUCUAUGUCAGCUGGAAUGUAGACGGAUAAGGGCUCCUCAGAGAUCUUUCUUGUCUGUGUGCUUUGAGAGAAAGAAAGUUCAGAAAAUGAUUACCCAUCACGGAGGCUCUCAGCUUUACCUCAAUAUAUUCUUUCUAAAAUAAUGAGCCCAAUUCAGAGACUCAUUGAGUGUCUACAGAGCUAUGUGAUCUGAGAUGCCUGCUUGAAUGUGUUCACUCUACCAGCUCCUAGCGUCAGCAUCUGUGAGUUGUGACUUAGUUCUGAAAAUGGUAGCUGCAUUUCCUCCAGAGUCAAGGUCUUAUCAGGACCAGAAGGCAUCCUAGAUGAGGAAGAGUGGUAGGGCAGGGACUGGUUCUUCUGCCUUGCCUUACUGGGCUCUUGGAAGUCAUUUCACUUCUUGAGCCUCUGUAGUUUUUCUUUAAUCUGAUGGUCUAGUUAUGGUGGGGAUUUUGCACAAGAUGAGGACCUUUGGUUUGGAUGAUCUGGUCACACAUGAAGAUUGAUCC
rnacentral:lncRNA from 1 species